UUAUGGGAAAAAUUGUCUCUUCCUUAUUUCUAUGUCUCUUCCUUACUUCUAUGCAGUUAUUAUAUGAUUUAUGACUUAUGUUCUGCAAUUAAUAUCUUAUGUUUUGUCUUACUGUAUGCAUUUGACAUUUCACCUAGAUUGUUCAAUGGUUGUCUCUGCCUGAUAGACUCUCAACUCUAGCUCCCAAACCCAAGGUCGGGGAGUUGUGUCUCUGUCUGUUGAGACUUGGUGCUCCUUUCUCACAGAUAGUUGGACGUCAGCAAUGCAGGUGUGAGAAUGUAAAUAUCUUCACACACACUGCGACAGGGAGGAGAUGGUGCAUGUAAUUUGAUUGGGUUAGAAAGACAUUCCACCCUAGUCGGACAGAGAAGCUAAAAGGCAGAAACAACUUUAGGAUCGUGGGCUCUUUGCAUCACACCUUCGUGGUGUGUGCACUGAUCUCCCCAGCUGGUUUUUGGUUUGUUGAUGUGCACGAUCAACAUCCAUGCUUUUUAUUUGCUUUCCCCAUUAUUUUUAUUUUCUUUAUUAUUUCAAUAAAUCACACAAAAGGACAACUCUCUCUCAUCUACGUCUUUAUGGAAAAUUUCCACCACAGAAAUUGGCGUUGUCGGCAGGAUCCCGCAGCAGGUCGUCUGGACGGUGUGACCAGGGACGAUAGUCCUGAGGACUAGGGUCGCUCAGCCUCCGAACCUCUACAGACAUUCAGAGCUGGGAGGACUGCUCACCCGUCUGGAUCGCCUCUGACGAGAUCCACGAACUCAGAUUCAAACUCAAAUCCUAAUUUGGCUCAGCUCGGUGAGAGAGAUUCCUUUUAAUUUGGGAAAAAACAAAAAGAAAAUAUAACUAGGAAAAGAGAUAAUAUUUCUAAAACGACUAUGUGGCUGAAAACAUCUAAAAUAUAAUAAUUAGGACCAAACAAUUUUUUUUAAUUAAAAAAUUUAAUAUUCGGGUAAAAUUAAUUAGGUCAAAGUGUGCCCUGGUGGUCGAGACGGUGGUUGCUAAGGGUUGGCUCGUGGAACCGAGCUUCCGUCUGUACUGAGGAUACAGACAUGUUUUUCUGAUCUGUGCGUGGUCCACACGUGGGGGACUGAGUAUAAAAGACGGCUUCUGAAAGAGGGAGUGCGUUUGCAGAGUGAAGUAUUUUCAAGAGACGAGGGCCCCGGGCCUAGAGGGGCCUAACGUUGAGGAAGUACUUCGUGAAAGACUCUGUCGCCAGAUCGGGUUGGUUCCCUUUUUACGGAGACGUCCGAUAAAAAGGCAUUUUGGGAAGGUUCCGGCCGGAACACAUAAAAAUCUAAGGCAGAAAACCGCCGGGACUCUGAAAGAUGGGUUCGGGGCGAUCUAAGUCUCCACCACCAGACUGCAGCAUUACAAAAGUAAAGAACUGAGCGCGAUGAGGGUAAAUCCGGAUCUGGACUCCUUUCCCACCAUCAGCAGAAGAACCGAAGGAGAAGAAGCGCCAACCAACAACCAGAACAGGGUGGAAGCUCUGACACCACAGCAGCUGGAGGACACAGACCACAGCAUGGACGCCUCAUAGACUCCCACAACGUCUGCAGCCAUCACGUUCUGGGCUCAUCAGAUGAACCAGCUACUACAAGCGUGUGUGUCUGACACAGACAUCUGCUUAUGACAAUCAGCAAAGGAAAACAAGGACAGAGCAACAGCAGAGAAGACGUGCUCUGACACAGACACUGGUCGAAACAACAGGAGAGGCUUCAGACGUGAUCGGCCCAAAAGAGCUGCAACCGAGAAUCCAGGAAAGGUCUGUCAUCGAGGAACAACUGUCCCAUUGAAAUGCUUCACCCGCUGGCGCUCACAUCAGACUGAUGGUUGGGGAAGGAGGAAGGUGACGGUUCCUUUUCACGUGACGUACAAGACGGUACCGCAAACACACACACACAUUCAUACACGCAAUGAAGAAACACGCUUACAGCUGAUACACGCUCAAAUUCAUGUUCAUGCUUAUCUGCUUGCAAUGAAGAAUCGCUUUUUGCUCAAAAAAAAAAUCCCACAGAGUGAUUUUAAAAAUAUGACAAACAGCUAAAUGACAACUGCUGCAUGACUUUACAGUCUGAUGGGUUUAAACUAUUUCAAUUUGCAACAAAUUCAGUAAUAAAAUCCUCCAUGUUUCUAAAAAUACUUGUGCACAAUAUAGGUUUGUCUGGCCAGACUGUAGAAAAAACAAAAAACAGACUAUAGGAAGACUGAAACCGACUGAAACAGACUAUUAAUGACUAUUAAAGGGAAGACGACUAUUAGAGAGAAGUAAUAAUAAUGACUGUACGUACCAGAUUAUUAAAGAAAAACUUAUUCUUUCACUGUCAUGUGCAACAUCUGACAGCAAGACACCUUAACAUUCAUUUUUGCUUUUAAACUUAUGCCCAGUUAAAUUUUUAGGAAGAGAUCUCAUGUGUAGUUUAGGUAUUUGAUUGAUUUCCACUCCAGACGGAGUGCAGGUUACAUCUACAGACAUUCUAAAUAAUCCCUCUUUUGUUGGUGUUAACUUCAGCUCAGCUGUGCUCUUAUCAUUGGCUGCUGAGGGGGGGCUGUAACUGAGGCCCUCACACAGGCUGCAUCACAGCUUGUUUAUGAUUUCACACACACACACACUGACAAACUGACCUCAACUUCCCUCUUUUGGGAUGAACACAGGUCUGCGCUUGCGAUUUCUUUUACUAACGAACAAAAAAGAUUUUUGAUGUUUAUUUUACAGUUCCACACGUCCCUCUGUGAAAACAUGAUGGAGACAGAUGCAGGACGUGGGUCCUUUCGUGAACAGAUGUCAACGGGGUAGAGACUGGUGAACGACUUCUGACCCCAUGUGACGUAUUCACCUACUUUGCAUACUUUUAGAAAACUUC